UGUAUAAGAAAUAUGAAAAAUGGCGUCUGCGUUAGAAAAUUUAGAAACACAGUUAGAGCUUUUUAUUGAAAAUGUAAGGCAAAUACGUAUUAUAGUGAGUGAUUUUCAACCUCAAGGACAAAAUGUAUUGAAUCAAAAAAAUGUAAGUAAUUCAAGGUUUAGUAAAUGGCUUACAAGAAAUAGAUAAGCUUAAAUCUCAAGUUCAAGAUGUUCAUGUACCUUUGGAAGUUUUCGAUUACAUUGAUCAAGGAAGAAAUCCACAAUUAUAUACUAAGGAUUGUAUAGAAAAAGCAUUAACUAAAAAUGAACAAGUAAAAGGAAAAAUCGAUGCUUAUAGGAAAUUUAAAGCAAAUAUGCUUGUAGAAUUAACUAGAGUUUUUCCACAAGAAUUAGCAAAAUAUAGAGCAAUACGUGGAGAUGAAUGAAUUGAAUAUAAAGUAAAUUAUCUAAAUCAAUGCAAUAUUUUUUUGUUAAAUUUUUUAUUGUAUUUUAAUCACUUAUAUAAUAAAUAUUUAUUAAAAA